rnacentral:SRP_RNA from 1 species
UUUUGGACAGCAUUCGACAGUAUAACACCCAACUCCGCCAGGCCCGGAAGGGAGCAACGGUAAGUGAUUAGAUUGUGUGAGUGUCUGUCCUUUUUUU